AAAGAGAGGUGGAGGGUUUUGAGAAUUUAAAUAGAGUUGAAGUUUUCAAAAUCAAAUUCAAAUUCUUUUGAAAAUCAAAAGCAAGCAUUCAAACAAAAGCCAAAAUAAAAGAGAAAAGAAAAACUCUACCAAGCACUUAUUGCUUCUAAAAUUAUUUCAAGUGCUCUUUAAUUAUUUAAAGAUCGUAAUUUAAUUAAAGUAAUUUAUUUAAUCCUUAGAGCACGAAAAACUAGACCGAGUUGCUUACAUUAUUUUCAUGAUGGAAUUUUG
rnacentral:lncRNA from 1 species